rnacentral:rRNA from 1 species
GACGUAGGGUGCGAGCGUUGUCCGGAUUUAUUGGGCGUAAAGGGCGCGUAGGCGGCCACCGCAAGUCAGUUGUGAAAGCUCUGGGCUUAACCCAGAAAGGUCAGCUGAUACUGCGGGGCUAGAGUGCAGAAGGGGCAACUGGAAUUCUCGGUGUAGCGGUGAAAUGCGUAGAUAUCGAGAGGAACACCUGCGGCGAAGGCGGGUUGCUGGGCUGACACUGACGCUGAGGCGCGAAAGCUAGGGGAGCGAACGGG